AAAAAAGGUAAGCUACUAAGAGCGAAUGGUGGAUGCCUUGACUGGUAAAGGCGAUGAAGGACGUACUAGACUGCGAUAAGCUACGGGGAGCUGUCAAGAAGCUUUGAUCCGUAGAUUUCCGAAUGGGGCAACCCAAUGUAUAGAGAUAUACAUUACCUAUAUAGGAGCGAACGAGGGGAAUUGAAACAUCUUAGUACCCUCAGGAAAAGAAAUCAAUAGAGAUUGCGUCAGUAGCGGCGAGCGAAAGCGCAAGAGGGCAAACCCAGUGCUUGCACUGGGGGUUGUAGGACUGCAAUGUGCAAGAGGUAAGUUUAGCAGAACAUUCUGGAAAGUAUAGCCAUAGAGGGUGAUAGUCCCGUAUGCGAAAAACAAACCUUAGCUAGCAGUAUCCUGAGUAGGGCGGGACACGAGAAAUCCUGUCUGAAGCUGGGUCGACCACGAUCCAACCCUAAAUACUAAUACCAGAUCGAUAGUGCACAAGUACCGUGAGGGAAAGGUGAAAAGAACUGAGGUGAUCAGAGUGAAAUAGAACCUGAAACCAUUUGCUUACAAUCAUUCAGAGCCCUAUGUAGCAAUACAGGGUGAUGGACUGCCUUUUGCAUAAUGAGCCUGCGAGUUGUGGUGUCUGGCAAGGUUAAGCAAACGCGAAGCCGUAGCGAAAGCGAGUCUGAAUAGGGCGCUUAGUCAGAUGCUGCAGACCCGAAACGAAGUGAUCUAUCCAUGAGCAAGUUGAAGCUAGUGUAAGAACUAGUGGAGGACUGAACCCAUAGGCGUUGAAAAGCCCCGGGAUGACUUGUGGAUAGGGGUGAAAGGCCAAUCAAACUUCGUGAUAGCUGGUUCUCUCCGAAAUAUAUUUAGGUAUAGCGUUGUGUCGUAAUAUAAGGGGGUAGAGCACUGAAUGGGCUAGGGCAUACACCAAUGUACCAAACCCUAUCAAACUCCGAAUACCUUAUAUGUAAUCACAGCAGUCAGGCGGCGAGUGAUAAAAUCCGUCGUCAAGAGGGAAACAACCCAGACUACCAGCUAAGGUCCCUAAAUCUUACUUAAGUGGAAAACGAUGUGAAGUUACUUAAACAACCAGGAGGUUGGCUUAGAAGCAGCCAUCCUUUAAAGAAAGCGUAAUAGCUCACUGGUCUAGUGAUUUUGCGCGGAAAAUAUAACGGGGCUAAAGUAAGUACCGAAGCUGUAGACUUGCGCACAACUUAGAUUAUUUAAGUUUAGAAUAUGAGAAACUAAGUUAUAUGUUUAGUUAUAUUUUUACUGAUUUUUAUAGAGUAAAGAUAGAAAUAAAACUUAGUAAAAUCAGUAAAAAUAUUCUUAGACUAAAGUUAAGUAGUUUAAGUUGUGUGCAAGUGGUAGGAGAGCGUUCUAUUUGCGUCGAAGGUAUACCGGUAAGGAGUGCUGGAGCGAAUAGAAGUGAGCAUGCAGGCAUGAGUAGCGAUAAUUAAUGUGAGAAUCAUUAACGCCGUAAACCCAAGGUUUCCUACGCGAUGCUCGUCAUCGUAGGGUUAGUCGGGUCCUAAGUCGAGUCCGAAAGGGGUAGACGAUGGCAAAUUGGUUAAUAUUCCAAUACCAACAUUAGUGUGCGAUGGAAGGACGCUUAGGGCUAAGGGGGCUAGCGGAUGGAAGUGCUAGUCUAAGGUCGUAGGAGGUUAUACAGGCAAAUCCGUAUAACAAUACUCCGAGAACUGAAAGGCUUUUUGAAGUCUUCGGAUGGAUAGAAGAACCCCUGAUGCCAUCGAGCCAAGAAAAGUUUCUAAGUUUAGCUAAUGUUGCCCGUACCGUAAACCGACACAGGUGGGUGGGAUGAGUAUUCUAAGGCGCGUGGAAGAACUCUCUUUAAGGAACUCUGCAAAAUAGCACCGUAUCUUCGGUAUAAGGUGUGGUUCGCUUCGUAUUAGGAUUUACUCCGAAAGCGAAGAAACUUACAACAAAGAGUCCCUCCCGACUGUUUACCAAAAACACAGCACUCUGCUAACUCGUAAGAGGAUGUAUAGGGUGUGACGCCUGCCCGGUGCUCGAAGGUUAAUUGAUGGGGUUAGCAUUAGCGAAGCUCUUGAUCGAAGCCCGAGUAAACGGCGGCCGUAACUAUAACGGUCCUAAGGUAGCGAAAUUCCUUGUCGGUUAAAUACCGACCUGCAUGAAUGGCGUAACGAGAUGGGAGCUGUCUCAAAGAGGGAUCCAGUGAAAUUGUAGUGGAGGU
rnacentral:rRNA from 1 species